CCUUCAAAGAGUUGUAUCAAACAAAAUAGAUUGCUAUUUAUAGUUUUCAAAAUUGAACUUGUAGAACAAGGAA
rnacentral:ncRNA from 1 species